rnacentral:pre_miRNA from 1 species
CCUAACUCUGAGUUUCUCCUCAGGGUGCUACAGGCAAAGCUGGGGAUCCAGGGAGAGACGUAAGUGAGC